AACAAGUUAUUCUGCUCUGUAACUUGCACAUCUUUUUCUAGCACCAUUUGAGAAGAUUGAUUAGACACUAAGAAAAUGAAAGACUAACACAAUGAGCAUGCAGUUCACAGACCCCUGAUAAAGAACAAAUCCUUGUGAUGUGUGAUCUCUAAACGAGGAAGGUGAAAACAAAGUGAAAGCAGAGAGCUUCAUUGUUGUUGGUCCUUCUAUGCCCGUCAUCACUUAUGUCGGUGAAGAUGUGGCCCUGCCAGCCUCCCUCUCACCAGAGCUUAAUGCUGAGGCCUUUGAAGUGAGGUGGUUUACA